rnacentral:rRNA from 1 species
GGGUUCGGUGCUGCAGCUGCCCAGCGAUGGGAUGUGCUCGUCCGGGCCGGUGUCCCUUCUCUAUUCCACCCCACUGUGAACCAAGCGUGCGAGCAGAAGAGAGAUCGGAAGCUCGCAUGCACACUUUAACAUACCCCUUAUGAAGUAUCUGAAUGUACCUUGCGUUAACUCGCACAAAUACAACUUUCAACAACGGAUCUCUUGGCUCUCGCAUCGAUGAAGAACGCAGCGAAAUGCGAUAAGUAAUGUGAAUUGCAGAAUUCAGUGAAUCAUCGAAUCUUUGAACGCACCUUGCGCCCCUUGGCAUUCCGAGGGGCACGCCUGUUCGAGUGUCGUGAACUCCUCCACCCUCUACCUUUUUCAAAGGGUUACUGGGCUGGGAUUUGGGAGCUUGCGGGUCCCUGGCCGAUCCGCUCUCCUUGAAUACAUUAGCGAAGCCCUUGCGGCCUUGGUGUGAUAGUCAUCUACGCCUCGGCUUAGCGAACCUGUGGGAGUCGCUUCCAACCGUCCCUCUGCGGACAAUCACUACCAACUUGACCUCGAAUCAGGCGGGACUACCCGCUGAACUUAAGCAUAUCA